rnacentral:rRNA from 1 species
CCUACGGGGCGCAGCAGUGGGGAAUAUUGGGCAAUGGAGGGAACUCUGACCCAGCAACGCCGCGUGAAGGAUGAAGGUUUUCGGAUUGUAAACUUCUGUCGCGAGGGAUGAAGAAUGACGGUACCUCGUAAGAAAGCCCCGGCAAACUACGUGCCAGCAGCCGCGGUAAUACGUAGGGGGCGAGCGUUGUCCGGAAUGACUGGGCGUAAAGGGAGUGUAGGCGGCCUUUUAAGUUAUGUGUGAAAGCCCACGGCGCAACUGUGGAAUUGCACAUAAAACUGGGAGGCUGGAGUGCAGGAGAGGUAAGCGGAAUGUCCAGUGUAGCGGUGGAAUGCGUAGAUAUUGGGAAGAACACCGGAGGCGAAGGCGGCUUACUGGACUGUAACUGACGCUGAGGCUCGAAAGCGUGGGGAGCAAACAGGAUUAGAUACCCGAGUAGUC